rnacentral:rRNA from 1 species
CGGGUGAGUAACACGUGGAUAACCUACCUAUAAGACUGGGAUAACUUCGGGAAACCGGAGCUAAUACCGGAUAAUAUUUUGAACCGCAUGGUUCAAAAGUGAAAGACGGUCUUGCUGUCACUUAUAGAUGGAUCCGCGCUGCAUUAGCUAGUUGGUAAGGUAACGGCUUACCAAGGCAACGAUGCAUAGCCGACCUGAGAGGGUGAUCGGCCACACUGGAACUGAGACACGGCCCAGACUCCUACGGGAGGCAGCAGCG